AAGCCAUGCGAGUCGAAUGUUCUUCGUGAACAUGGCGGACUGCUCAGUAACACGUGGACAACCUACCCUUGGGUCUGGCAUAAUCCUGGGAAACUGGGUAUAAUUCCAGAUAGGUCACAGAUGCUGGAAUGCACUGUGGCCGAAAGCUCCGGCGCCCAAGGAUGGGUCUGCGGCCUAUCAGGGUUGUAGUGGGUGUAACGGACCUACUAGCCUACGACGGGUACGGGUUGUGAGAGCAAGAGCCCGGAGAUGGAUUCUGAGACACGAAUCCAGGCCCUACGGGGUGCAGCAGGCGCGAAAACUUUACAAUGCGGGAAACCGUGAUAAGGGAAUCUCGAGUGCCAGCAUAUAAUGUUGGCUGUCCAGAUGCCUAAAAAGCAUCUGUUAGCAAGGGCCGGGCAAGACCGGUGCCAGCCGCCGCGGUAACACCGGCGGCCCGAGUGGUAACCGCUUUUAUUGGGUCUAAAGGGUCUGUAGCCGGCCAAGUAAGUCCCUUGGGAAAUCUGGCAGCUUAACUGUCAGGCUGCUAGGGGAUACUGCUAGGCUUGGGACCGGGAGAGGUGAGAGGUACCUUGGGGGUAGGGGUGAAAUCUUGUGAUCCUCGGGGGACCACCAGUGGCGAAGGCGUCUCACCAGAACGGGUCCGACGGUAAGGGACGAAAGCUAGGGGCACGAACCGGAUUAGAUACCCGGGUAGUCCUAGCCGUAAACGAUGCUCGCUAGGUGUCAGUCACGGUGCGACCGUGAUUGGUGCCGUAGGGAAGCCGUGAAGCGAGCCACCUGGGAAGUAUGGCCGCAAGGCUGAAACUUAAAGGAAUUGGCGGGAA
rnacentral:rRNA from 1 species